rnacentral:tRNA from 1 species
GUGCCUAUGGUGUAAUGGUUAGCACUGACCCCUGUGGAGGGUCCAGCAUGGGUUCGAAUCCCAUUAGGCACCCCA